GAUGUAGCUUAGUGGUGGAGGGCUUGCCUUGCAAGCAUAGUGCCCUGGGUUUGAACCCAGCAUC
rnacentral:tRNA from 1 species